rnacentral:rRNA from 1 species
UGGAGGCAGCAGUGGGGAAUCUUGGACAAUGGGGGAAACCCCGAUCCAGCGAUGCCGCGUGAGUGAUGAAGGCCUUCGGGUUGUAAAACUCUUUCGACGGGGACGAUAAUGACGGUACCCGUAGAAGAAGCUCCGGCUAACUUCGUGCCAGCAGCCGCGGUAAUACGAAGGGGGCUAGCGUUGUUCGGAAUUACUGGGCGUAAAGCGCGCGCAGGCGGCCAUUCAAGUCAGGGGUGAAAGCCCAGAGCUCAACUCUGGAACUGCCCUUGAAACUGUAUGGCUUGAGUAUGAGAGAGGUGAGUGGAAUUCCCAGUGUAGAGGUGAAAUUCGUAGAUAUUGGGAAGAACACCGGUGGCGAAGGCGGCUCACUGGCUCAUUACUGACGCUCAGGCGCGACAGCGUGGGGAUCAAACAGGAUUAGAUACCCCAGUAGUCCG